rnacentral:rRNA from 1 species
UACGUAGGGGGGCAAGCGUUGUCCGGAUUUAUUGGGCGUAAAGAGCGUGUAGGCGGUUUGGUAGGUCCGCUGUGAAAACUCGAGGCUCAACCUCGAGACGCCGGUGGAAACCAUCAGGCUAGAGUCCGGAAGAGGAGAGUGGAAUUCCUGGUGUAGCGGUGAAAUGCGCAGAUAUCAGGAAGAACACCCGUGGCUAAGGCGGCUCUCUAGUACGGUACUGACGCUGAGACGCGAAAAGCGUGGGGAGCGAACAGG